rnacentral:rRNA from 1 species
UAAUAACUUCUCGAAUCGCACGGCCUUGCGCCGGCGAUGGUUCAUUCAAAUUUCUGCCCUAUCAACUUUCGACGGCUGGGUAUUGGCCAGCCGUGGUGACAACGGGUAACGGAGGGUUAGGGCUCGACCCCGGAGAAGGAGCCUGAGAAACGGCUACUACAUCCAAGGAAGGCAGCAGGCGCGCAAAUUACCCAAUCCCGACACGGGGAGGUAGUGACAAUAAAUACUGAUACAGGGCUCUUUCGGGUCUUGUAAUUGGAAUGAGUACAAUCUAAAUCCCUUAACGAGGAACAAUUGGAGGGCAAGUCUG